CACUAAGAAGCUAAACAGGGUAGCGCUAGCCUUUUAAGUUAGAAAAGGGAGCCUCCAACUCUCCUUAGUGA
rnacentral:tRNA from 1 species